UCAUCUGCUAACAACCAAAAAAAGAAACAACAAACUGGGCUUCCUCAAGAAAUAGUUGAUUCCAGACCUGGGGCAGGUAAUGCAUAAGAUGAACUGAAAC